CGAUCGCACAGCACCCCUUGGGGUGUCAAACUCGUCUGUAACCCGGCAACGUCAUCCUCGCGAUGGCGUGACGACCCAAUCCGGCAGCCAUGCUGCCGUCAU
rfam:Cardiobacterium valvarum F0432 genomic scaffold Scfld1049, whole genome shotgun sequence.